rnacentral:rRNA from 1 species
AACGAACGCUGGCGGCAUGCCUAACACAUGCAAGUCGAACGGCAGCUUAGUGACUACUGGCGCAUAGGUGCGUCACGCGUCGGACGCUGCACUUAGACUUGGAAUAACUCCCCUAAGGGGGUGAUAAUGCCGGGUAAUGUCCUCGAAUCCAGAAUUUAUCGCAUGUGGAUAGGCACAUGUUGGAUUAGCUAGUUUGCAGUGAAAAAGCCUACGAAGGCGUAGAUCCAUAGCGGGUCUAAGAGGAUGAUCAGCCACACUGGGACUGAGACACGGCCGAGACUCCGACGGGAGGAAGCAGUGGGGAAUAUUGGACGAGGGGGGAAUGCCUGAUCCAGCCAUACCGCGUGGAUGAAGAAGGCCCUCGGGUUGUAGAGCCCUUUUGUUGGGAAAGAAGAGCAGCAGGUUUAUACCCCGCUGUUCUGACGGUACCCAAAGAAUAAGCACCGGCUAACUUCGUG